rnacentral:tRNA from 1 species
GCGAGGGUGGUGGAAUUGGCAGACACGCUAGACUUAGGAUCUAGUGGGGUUUCCCGUGUGGGUUCGAAUCCCACCCCUCGCA